UUCAGUCGCGCGCGAUCCUGUCGUUCCGACCUGCUGAGCUGCGCUUUUACCCGACUUUAAGCGAAUAGUCUACAUUAUCCGUCGUAGGGCGACAUGUGCGUCAAUCGUCAUAAGACCCCGUCGUAAGGCGAAUGCAUCAAAUUUCUGUUGAUGUUUUAAGAUUGUGACUAGAACCACUCAACACAUCUGUGACGAAGAGUGCUACUUCAUCACGGACGCACCGUUACACCUCACUGAGAUUAUCAGCAGUCUCAUUGAGGAACAACAAAGGCAAAAUCAGCGUCUGGAGGCCCUGCUACAAGAAGAGGCAAAGACCAAACAGAUGCUCCACAGAAUCAUCCAGCAAGUGGAAUCUAAAGAUUCCAAGAAAGCUGUCUCGCUAUCAGAGCAACAUCGCCAGAGGUUUCGCUCCUUGGCCCUCAGUGAGGUCGGCGACCUAUUUAAAUUUGUACAGCAGCUCCAAUUCCACUGUCAGAAGUGGUUGCUGGCUGAGGAUUGGGACUGUAGCAGGAUUGUGGAGCAGUUGGUAAUAGAGCAGUUUAUCAAGCAGCUUCCAGAAGAGACUGCCCACUGGGUUCAGCUCCACCAACCAGAAACACCAAAUGAGGCCAUUCAGUUGGCAGAGAACCACAGGGCAUCUCUCUCUCUCUCCCCUUCAACAUCUGCCUCAGUGGGAUGAUGCUUUGGGCACACUGUGUGAAGGACCUCCAAUCCUGAUAUUGCUCAACUUCCAGUUUCUUCAAUGUCUUCCAUCUGUAGUGCUGUGUUUCGCUGACUUCGCCCACAGCUGACAUCAUCAUGG